rnacentral:lncRNA from 10 species
UGAUCCACCCGCCUCAGCCUCCCAAAGUGCUGGGAUUACAGGCGUAAGCCACCGCACCCCGCAACCCCUUCCUUCUUUAACUUGGUGUCUGAGGAGUUUUGUCUGGGCUGGUCCUGCUACAUUUCUUGGUUCCCUGACCCAGAAGCGAGGUGAUUGGUGGAUGGUCAAGGCAGCUCCUUAGGCAGCUUCUUAGGCAGCUUAAGCCUGCCCUGUGGAACAUCCCUGCGGGGGACUCCGACCAGACCAGCCCAAGCGACGUGGAUCCUGAGAGCGUUCCUGGGUAGGCAUUUGCCCUGGUGGGACGCCUCGCCAGAGCAAUGUGUGGCAGGUCCCCGUGGGGGAUCAACGCAGUGGCUGAACACCAGGAAGGAAUGGGCACUUGGAGUCUGGACACCUAAAACUUGAGCAUCCCUGCAGGGGACUCUGGCCAGCUUGAGCAACACGGAUCCUAAGAGCGCUCCCGGGUAGGCAUUUGCCCCGGUUGAACACCUCACCAGAGCAGCGCACAGCAGGCCCCCGCGGAGGAUCAACGCAGUGGCUGAACACCGGGAAGGAACUGGCACUUUAAGUCUGGACAUCUGAAACUUGGUAAGACUGGUCUUUGGAACUUGCCACUCCUCUUGAGUGGAAGUGUGGCCUGAUCACCCAUGGCGUGCCUGUACCGGCACAUUGGUUUUUGUUUUUGACUUGACUUGAAUUGCUUGAUACUUUGGUUUUAGUUUUGAUUUUGACUUGACUUGAAUUGCUUGAUAAACAGACAUGCCUUUAUUGGCACUUUGGUUUUGGUUCUGAUUUUGACUUGGCUUAAAUUGCUUGAUGAACAGGUGUGCCUUUAACAACACUUUGGUUUUAGUUUUCAUUUUGAUUUAGUGUGAAUUAGAUGAGUGAGUGACCUUUUAUCCUUUCCUUCUUGUAGUGUGAAUGUUGUUUUGUCUCAAGAGAAAAAUAGGUCAGACACAAAGUAAGCCUACUCCACUAAGAACUGUGUUAAAAAAAAUUUUCAAAAAGAAAAAUAAAAGGAAAGUCAUCAAAUCAUCAAAACUUAUUCCAUUAAAAUGCAGGUUACAGAACCUUAAGAAGGGUUUUGCAGGAGAUUAUAGAGUUAAGUUAACCCCUAGAGGCUAAGAACUCUGUGUAAAUUAGAAUUGCCCUCUUUUGGUGUUGGAUGGCCCACCGAAGGAACUAUAGACAGGGAACAAUUGGCCAUGUAUUUAAGGUGGUGACAGGGGUUGGAGGACAGCCAGUGUACCUAGAUCAAAUUACUUUAUAUUGACUCAUGGUUAAAUAUAAUAUAGACAAAAUGGGCAUAAAUUUAGCCCUGUUUAACAGCUUAUUGCAAAAAAAGCCAAAAGUAAAAGUAAGAGCAGCUUCGCCAGCAGACAUGGAGUUAAAAAGGGAGUCCCAGAAACAGCAACAGAAGCCAGUUUUGCAGGAGCUGCCAGAGAUAAUAGAAAUUCUUUCUCCAUAUGUCCCAGCCUAUCCCCCUUUACCGAGGCCAACAGCCCCCUCAGAAAUGAGAUUCAGGAGCUAACAUGCCCCAGGUCUCACCUCAAAGGGGAGGAUCGGAGCCUCGAGAGGCCGAGGAAGGAAGUCAAGAUAGUCAAGUGGGCCCUCUCAGAUCUGGUCUUGCUCGAGCUAUGCAAAUGCCUCUCAGGGAGACGCGAGGACCUGUCUAUUAUAAUGACCAGGCCCACAUCUGGGGGGGCAACAGACUUUCAUCUAUCAGCCCUUUUCAACCAUUGAUCUACUAAACUGGAAAUACCCUGAACCCUCCACCUUGCUCCUGGCAGCUAGAGCCCUGUCGAGCAUAACUGUGUAGAGGUGUUGGACUCAAGUUUACUCUAGCAGACCUGACCUCCAGGACCAGCCUUGGGCAUCAGUAAACUGGGAGCUAUACGUGGACGGGAACAGCUUCAUCAACCCACAAGGAGAGAGAUGUGCAGAAUAUGCGGUGGUAACCCUGGACACUGUCGUUAAGCUGAGCUGAUUGCUUUAAUUCAGUCCUUAGAACUCAGUGAAGUUGCAGGUGUUGUGUCUUGGAUCCAUCACAGUCAGCUAACACUGGCAGCUCAGGACAAGUGGACCAGCCAGCAGGAUGCAGAUCACCCAACCUGGCUGAUCCUGAGACGAGACCAAGCUGCUGCUGAGGACGACAGCCCUGCUCUGGUCACUCCGGAGGCUGACCAGUCUACGCACGGCCGAAGCUUGAGGACUCAUCGAGCAAGUAAAUGUAGUUAAAAAUCUUAAGACUAAUAGUUUUCCUGUAAUACUAACUGUUUUCCUAUUGUUCGGUCGCUGUAUUCAACCUUUUUCCCAGGUAAGGACCUCUUUUGUCCUUGCUGGAUACGAAUAUGCUGUACAUUGUUUUGUUGUUGUUAACCCCCAUAACCAUGUUAGAAGAAACACCUAUAUAAGGUGUCCCCACUGUACACAUACUACUUAGGAAACCCAGACCUGUCCAGCCCAGUAACAAUUCUGAGUCUUUCAGUCAUUCUUUAAACAUAUAAACCAGAAGUUACCAGAACCUCCUCCUUUAGCAAAAACAGAAAAAACCUAUUUGCUCAGCUGGCUGAAAACAUUGCUAGCUGCCUAGAUGUUUCUUCAUGUUAUGUUUAUAAAAAGGCUAACAUAAGAGACCAAUGGCCUUGAGAAGCAAAAGAGUUAAUGCCUCAAGAUAACUUUAACUAGCUCUUUCCCCAAACAGAUGCCACAAGUUCAAGCAUCUGGCUCUUAAAACUUCUAUUAUUAAAAAAUACCAUGUUACUCACUAGGAAAAAGCUUUUAAGACACAGUAAAAAGAACUAACCUGCUUAAGGCAUGACAAAGUUGGUACAUGUGCAUAUACAGGUUUAACACAGGUCUGAUCCUAGGUGUUCAUUUAGAACAUAGUUUCCAGCUGUAAGAAAAUUUAAAACCCUCAUUGUAAGUGUAUUACUAGUAAUAGGAACUUGCUUGCUGCUCCCCUGUAUAUUAUAUUUGCUCCUUCAAAUGAUAAAAGGUUUUGUAGCUACCAUGGUUCAGCAGAAAACUUCAACACAAGUAUAUUACAUAAAAUACUAUCACUCUGUCUCACAAAAAGACUCAAAAAGUAAAAAUAAAAGAACUCCCACUGAUUAGUGAAAAUUCUCAAAGGGGGAGAUAAGGAAGGAGACCACUACUACUCCUGCUGCCCUCCUCUCCCCACCUUGCCUAGUUCGCAAGACAGGAGGAGAGAAAAACAAAAAGUUGGAAAAAAAACAAAAGUAAGAUAAACAGCCAGACAACCUUGGCACCACCACCCGGCCUUAGGAGUUAAAAAAAGUAAUAAUGAUAACCUCAACCCCUGACCUAAACUACUUGUGUUGUCUGUAAAUUUCAGACACUGUAUGAAAAAAAGCAUUGUAAAACUUUUUGUUCUGUUAGCUGAUGCAUAUAGCCCCCAGUCAUGUUUCCCAUGCUUGCUUGAUGUACCACGACCCUUACACGUGGACCCCUUAAAGUUGUAAACCUUUAAAAAGGCCAAGAAUUUCUUUUUCGGGGAGCUCGGCUCUUAAGACACGAGUCUGACAAUGCUCCUGGCCGAAUAAAAACCUCUUCCUUCUUUAAUUCAGUGUCUGAGGAGUUUUGUCUGUGGCUCGUCCUGCUACAAUAAAAGGUUAAAAAGAGUCUAUAAAAUCUUACCUUAUGGUCAAACAUUAAAAAUUAGAUAAAUAUGUCUACAAGGUUUUAUUAAAAUUAAGUUUAACAUUAAUAACACACUAAUAUAAAAAUAAAAUUUAGCUUAUCUGGUAUAAAAAUCACACGAGAAGCACUGUUAAGUGUAAAAUGGUAUUUGGCUUUCUUUGGUUUAAAAAGUAAUAAACAUUUUUCUCAGUAAAAAGGCACUAAGGAAUAUAAAGUCCACUGCCAAGGUCCC